rnacentral:rRNA from 1 species
AUUGAACGCUGGCGGCAUGCCUUACACAUGCAAGUCGAACGGCAGCACGGGAGCAAUCCUGGUGGCGAGUGGCGAACGGGUGAGUAAAGUAUCGGAACGUGCCCAGUCGUGGGGGAUAACGUAGCGAAAGUUACGCUAAUACCGCAUACGAUCUAUGGAUGAAAGCGGGGGAUCGCAAGAACCUGCGCGAUUGGCGCGGCCGAUAUCAGAUUAGGUAGUUGGUGGGGUAAAGGCUCACCAAGCCGACGAUCUGUAGCUGGUCUGAGAGGACGACCAGCCACGCUGGGACUGAGACACGGCCCAGACUCCUACGGGAGGCAGCAGUGGGGAAUUUUGGACAAUGGGCGAAAGCCUGAUCCAGCCAUGCCGCGUGCAGGAUGAAGGCCUUCGGGUUGUAAACUGCUUUUGUACGGAACGAAAAGGUUUGGCCUAAUAAGCUGAGCUCAUGACGGUACCGUAAGAAUAAGCACCGGCUAACUACGUGCCAGCCGCCGCCGUAA